GGGGUUGGGGCUCAAUGGUAGAGUGCUUGCCUAGCAUUCAUGAGGCUCUGGGUUCAAUUCUCAGCACCA
rnacentral:tRNA from 1 species